AGAGCGAACGCUGGCGGCAGGCCUAACACAUGCAAGUCGAGCGCGUGUAGCAAUACACGAGCGGCAGACGGGAGAGUAACACGUGGGAACGCGCCCUUCGGUUCGGAAUAACUCAGGGAAACUUGAGCUAAUACCGGAUACGCCCUUACGGGGGAAAGAUUUAUUGCCGAAGGAACGGCCCGCGUCCGAUUAGCUAGUUGGUGAGGUAACGGCUCACCAAGGCGACGAUCGGUAGCUGGUCUGAGAGGAUGACCAGCCUCACUGGGACUGAGACACGGCCCAGACUCCUACGGGAGGCAGCAGUGGGGAAUAUUGGACAAUGGGCGCAAGCCUGAUCCAGCCAUGCCGCGUGGAUGAUGAAGGCCUUAGGGUUGUAAAGUCCUUUUAACGGGAAGAUAAUGACGGUACCGUAGAAUAAGCCCCGGCUAACUUCGUGCCAGCAGCCGC
rnacentral:rRNA from 1 species